UACGAAGGGGGCUAGCGUUGUUCGGAAUUACUGGGCGUAAAGCGCGUGUAGGCGGGUCGUUAAGUCAGGGGGGAAAUGCCAAGGCUCAACCUUGGAACUGCCUUUGAUACUGGAGAUCUUGAGUCCGGGAGAGGUGAGUGGAACUGCGAGUGUAGAGGUGAAAUUCGUAGAUAUUCGCAAGAACACCAGUGGCGAAGGCGGCUCACUGGCCCGGAACUGACGCUGAGACGCGAAAGCGUGGGGAGCAAACAGG
rnacentral:rRNA from 1 species